UGGGGGAGCGAAGGCGCAACGCGCCAAAGCUGAGAAAUACCCUUGGAACCUGUACGGAUAAUGCCGUCGUAGGGAAGCGGAA
rnacentral:ncRNA from 1 species